CCCAACCCCAAUGAGCAGCUCUCUGAGGCCCUCCUCCCUCAAGUUUUUGUCAGUCCCAGUCUCCAGCCCAGGGUCUCAUAGAAGUUAAGUGUGCCAUAGCUGUCCAGUCCUCCUAGAAAGCCAGUAAGGAUAAGCGGUGGCAGCGUCAGGGCUGAGGACUCACGGCUAGGGUCCAGGGGUAAGGGGUGAGGGUCUGGGACUAGGUCCUGACACUCUGGCCCGGAGUCUGGACUCUGAGGUUACAGGACUGCAGCUGAAAGCCUGGAAGCUGAGAAGUUGAGGCCAAGGGGGUUGGACAGUCUGGAGAUUGUCAGGACUGGGUUGGAAGAGGAGGGGAGGAAGAGGCUGCAGGGCUGCGGGGCUGGACACCUGGGAGGGGACAGAAAAGUAGGGGUGCGGGGUGGAGGUACACGCUGAGAGGUAAGAGCCUGGCGGUACCGGACAGUCUGGGCACUUCCGAGCUGCGGCUGGCAGACGGUCAGAUUGAGGGGCGGAUCAGGAAUAGGGAAAACGAAGGAAAUGCAUCUUGAAAGGGUAGUGUGUGAAGGAGCCCUGCCCGCGACAAGGCGGGGUGGACGCCCGAGGAGACUGGGACCAGACAGCGGCCGCGGCAUUGGCUCCCGGGGCGCCUGCUUCCUCCCAGCCCCUCGCGCGCCGGUGCCCCAGCCCACCGCGCCAGCUGCAGGCCAGGGAGAAAAGCUUCCCAUUAUGCGUUCAACCGGCUUCAGGACCCCGGGGGACAAUGAAGACCCAGAAAGCUGAGGCAUGAAGCACUCACCCUUGGAGGAGGAAGGUCCACAGAAGCAACAGGGUGGAGACGCAGUUGGUGAUGAUCCACAUCAUUAGGUAGGUUUGAGGGGGCUACGGGAAUAGGAAAAGGCACCUCUAGGUGGUGGCCAGAGCCCCAAAGGUAGUAUGUGGGGGGAAAUGCAUGAGGAAGAGAUGGUUGGGGUCAAGGAGAACUGGGGGUGGGGUUGGGGGAAGAAGACAAGCGGUGACAGCCCCAGAGGUCUUACAAUAAUCCAGACGGGGUAUCGCAUCUGCUGCAGCAGCUGGCAGUCAUUGGUGGUGACCGAAUCCACCCCUGCACACCAGAGCAGGGAAAAAAGCCAGGGCUUGUUCACUACAAAUAGGUUCACCGAGACAUUAUCUUGGUGUAGUGCCCUGUGGAGGUGGGAAACAAGGAACAUCUAGAAUCACGGGGCUCGAGGCACAGGAGUCAGCCCCUGUGCAUGCUCCAAUGUACGAUGUUGCUGCCAAGGACUGUCAGUUCUACUUUUUAAACUUUUUUUGCAUUGCUGAACUUUGUCUCCCAGUGGAUCCCACCUACGGACCCUAGCUUGGCUAUCAGGGGCCACAUGAGUGUGUUUCUCUUCUCUGUCCCAUGACAGCACUUCAGGGGUCUGAGGAACAAGUGCCCAUGUCCCUGAGUUGUCUUGUCUCAAGGCCCAGCAGCCCCAAUUCCUUCCACCAGGGCUUGGGACCUGGCUUAUUAUUCCCUUUACCACCAGUCCUCUUCUGAGCUGAUGUUGGUUCCAUUUAUCAGUGUUCCUUUCAAAGGAUGGGGUCUUGCAUCUGAAUAUGAUCUCCCAGGUGGGCUUGGCCCAGCUUUGAGUACAGCAAAACUCCCCCUACCUUUUGGGCAUGACGUCUGCAUGCAGGCAGCCCAGGGUUGGGCUAGUUUUGGCAAUGUCACAUGCCACUGAUGACUCAUUAUGCACACUAUUCAAUCAAAGCCCUGGUCUUUUUUGCACAUGUUCCUGCUGAAUGCCAGU